UAACUGAGAAUAAGAAGAAAAAACCCAAAAGCAAAUUGAUCGUGGAGAAUUCAUUGUUAUUGUGUUUUACCUAUUUCUCCCAAAUCCCCUUUAGUGUCGAUGGACAAAAUCUGCUCUAGAGAUGAGAAAAAAUACAACAACGCGGGAAAGCUUUUAUAUUUUAAAGUUUUUGAAAUGUUUUAUUGUUUGAAUUGCGAUUUUGCAAAAAGGUUUAUUACAUUUUAGUGGCGCAUGCUUAUACAUAUAUUGAUUGACUGGUUUUUGUAAAUUACGUUAAAUGACAACUCAGAUGCUUGGUAAUACCAUAAAAUUAAUGACGAUUUACAAUGGAGUACUCUACUAAUUAUUGUAAGAAUUUCAACUUAUUUGCACAGCACCUGUCUAUGCAAAAUUUCAAAUAUGUUUAGAAGUUGCACUUAAACUUUCAAUUUUGAAUUUUAUUUGGUGGAAUUAAUCUACCAAAUACGAAGACUGAAAAUCGGAAUGCGAAAUACAGCCUACUUUAUGUUUACAAGUACUUUAAAUAAAAAGUUUCAUAAAAAUAUUAACGGAAGGAUGGAUGAGAUUGAAUCGACCCAUAAAAAGAUUUUAGGUUGAAGAGUGCACCAAAAAGCAGCGGAUUUAUGAUUUAAAUCAAUAUAAUUUGAAACACAUGGCACUUUUUGUUGGAGCAAUGAAUAUAUGGAAAUCGCUAAAACCCAAACCACUUAAGAUAUCGAUAAAUGAUUUUGUACACAUAAGAAUAACCAAUAGAGUUAGAAAUUGCAACAAUUAAAAAAAUCGCAAAUCCACAUAGUAUUAAAAUACAAAACAGGUACGAUUUAUUUUUAGGAACAUAUAAGCAUUUGUUGUAAGAUAGUAAUAAUAGAAGAUAUCAUCAUAAUAAUAUAAGAUAUCCCGUUAAUUUAACACUUAGAGUAAGUAGAAUUCCUACUUAUCCUUUAUGUUUGGCUGCUAAUAAGCCAGUUCGCCACACUUACUCUACACCACCGCUUAGAUGUGGUACAAAUAUUAUUUUCUUUACAGUUUGUCUAAAAAUAUAUAUUUGUUUGUCUAAAAAUAUAGA